CGUAUGUAACCUACCUUUGUCAGGGGGAUAGCCUCUCGAAAGAGAGAUUAAGCCCGCAUAACAUUGAGAUAUAGCAUUAUGACUCAAUCAAAUAUUUAUAGGACAAAGAUGGGCAUGCGGAACAUUAGCUAGUUGGUAAGGUAAUGGCUUACCAAGGCUACGAUGUUUAGGGGAUCUGAGAGGAUGACCCCCCACACUGGUACUGAGACACGGACCAG
rnacentral:rRNA from 1 species